rnacentral:lncRNA from 1 species
UCCCUGUUGCCUCCUUUCUUGAUUUCUCUCUCAGGUGCCUGCUUUGUGUGCUGCUCUAUGUCAGCGCCUGGCACUUAGAAGAUGCUCAGCCUCUGUGGAGUGGGUGGAUGUGCCCCUGAUUGACACAAGUCAGGAACCCUAAGCAUAAGGCAAAAGGUUGUAGUGAUUCCCGCUCUGAUGUGCAGAAAACUCUUCUGCUCAAAUCUGUUCUGUUCAUAGCAGCAGCUGUGUUGAGAUCAUGCUCAGCUUGCUGGGGAGGGCCGCAGUUAUAAGCCAGUGGUGUCCUCCAUAGGUGCAGUGGGAAUGGUGGCCUAGGGACCACGCUUGGGCUAUGUCAGUGACCU